AGAAUGAACGCUGGCGGCGUGCUUUACACAUGCAAGUCGAGCGAGGCGGGUAGCAAUACCCAGUCGAGCGGCGAACGGGUGAGUAACGCGUGGAUUAUCUACCCUGAGGUGGGGGAUAACCCGGGGAGACUCGGGCUAAUACCGCAUGACAUCGAGAGAUCAAAGGGGGCCGCAAGGCUCUCGCCAUGGGAGGAGUCCGCGUACGAUUAGCUAGUUGGUAGGGUAAUGGCCUACCAAGGCGACGAUCGUUAGCCGGCCUGAGAGGGUGAUCGGCCACACUGGAACUGAGACACGGUCCAGACUCCUACGGGAGGCAGCAGUGGGAAUUUGCGCAAUGGGCGAAAGGCCUGACGCAGCAACGCCGCGUGGAGGAUGAAGUCCUUGGAUUGAAACUCCUGUCAGCAAGGAAAAACGGGACCGGCCGCAUACGCCGGUUCAUUGAUUGUACUGCAGAGAACGCCCGGCUAACGUCUAGUGCCAGACACGCCGCGGUAAGUCUAGA
rnacentral:rRNA from 1 species